rnacentral:lncRNA from 10 species
AUCCAUCCCCGAGGGACCAGGAGGUUGCGGAAGGUGGGAGAGGGUGUGUGUAACAAAGGAGUGGGGGUCAUCAAGAAGAAGAGGAGGAGGGGGUGGCUUUCUGAUCUCAGGUGCUUUACCUGACGCAGCUCACAGCAUCCUCGCAAGGCAUCUCUCUCUGAUGCCCAUUAUCGCCAGGUGUGACAGCUGAUCAGAGAGGGUACCCGACUUUGCCAAGAGCGCUUAGCCCCAGAACUCCACAGCCCACUUUCAAUACCGGCUCUGCCUGACUCCAGAGCCCGGGGGGUAGUGGUGCCUGCCAGGAAGCUGAGCUGCCACCUUGAGUGGCGGUGUUCCUGGGGUUCUGUCCUGGGCCUCCUCUCUCCUCAGUCCUCAAGUUGUCUCUCCCUGUGUGAUCUCAUUCAUUUCCAGUAAACACCGAUGACUCCCAGAUCUACAGCUCCAGGCUGUUCCCUUCUCCGUGUCUCAUAUCAGCUUUGCCAACUGUUUAUUGGACAUCACCGCCUGAGUAUCCCUGAGGGACACGAUUAUCCUGUUUGGAGUGUAUUGAACUUCUUGGAUACAUCGAUUAGUGUCUUUCCUCAAGUUUGAGUAAUUUGCAGUCAUUUUUCCUUUGAAAAUUCUUUCUUCUCUAUUCUGUUUCUCUCCUUGUUGAACCCCCAUCAUGCAUAGGUGUGCUCUGUUCAUUUUUCACAUUACUUUUAUUUUUCUGCUCCUCGGACUGAAUAAUCUCAAUUGACCUAUUUUAAGUUCACUGAUUCUUUUGCCUGCCCAAACCUACUGUUGUACCCCUCUAGUGACUUUUAGUUAUUGUACUUUUCAAAUAAAGAAUUUCUAUUUAUUUUAUAAUUUCUACAUCUCUUUGUAUUUUUACAUCUUUACUGAUAUUGUGUAUUUGCUGAGACAUUCUUCUCUUUUUCUUUAGUCCUUUGUUUACGAUUUCCUUUAGUUCUUCGAGCAUAUAUAAGACAGUUGAUUAAAAAUAUUUUCUAGAUAUUCUAAUACACGGGCUUUUUCAUGAUAGUAUCUAAUUAUUUCUUUCCUGUGUAUGGGCUAUGUUUUCUUAUUUCCUUAUAUGCCUCACAAAGUUUUGUUGAAAUCUGUAUAUUUUGAUUCUAAUAUGUUGACUCUGGAAAUUAGAUUUUCCCUCUUCCUUGGGUUUUGUUGUUACUCUCUCGUGGGUUAUUGUUUACUUAGUGACUUUUUAAAGUAUUUUAGCAAAUUAUGUAUUCU